rnacentral:rRNA from 1 species
ACAUGCAAGUAGAACGCUGAAGGAGGAGCUGCUCUUCUGGAAGAGUUGCGAACGGGUGAGUAACGCGUAGGUAACCUGCCUGGUAGCGGGGGAUAACUAUUGGAAACGAUAGCUAAUACCGCAUAAGAUUGAAUAUCGCAUGAUAAUUGAUUAAAAGAUGCAAAUGCAUCACUACCAGAUGGACCUGCGUUGUAUUAGCUAGUAGGUGAGGUAACGGCUCACCUAGGCGACGAUACAUAGCCGACCUGAGAGGGUGAUCGGCCACACUGGGACUGAGACACGGCCCAGACUCCUACGGGAGGCAGCAGUAGGGAAUCUUCGGCAAUGGGGGCAACCCUGACCGAGCAACGCCGCGUGAGUGAAGAAGGUUUUCGGAUCGUAAAGCUCUGUUGUAAGAGAAGAACGAGUGUGAGAGUGGAAAGUUCACACUGUGACGGUAUCUUACCAGAAAGGGACGGCUAACUACGUGCCAGCAGCCGCGGUAGUACGUAGGUCCCGAGCGUUGUCCGGAUUUAUUGGGCGUAAAGCGAGCGCAGGCGGUUAGAUAAGUCUGAAGUUAAAGGCUGUGGCUUAACCAUAGUACGCUUUGGAAACUGUUUAACUUGAGUGCAGAAGGGGAGAGUGGAAUUCCAUGUGUAGCGGUGAAAUGCGUAGAUAUAUGGAGGAACACCGGUGGCGAAAGCGGCUCUCUGGUCUGUAACUGACGCUGAGGCUCGAAAGCGUGGGGAGCGAACAGGAUUAGAUAUCCUGGUAGUCCACGCCGUAAACGAUGAGUGCUAGGUGUUAGGCCCUUUCCCGGGGCUUAGUGCCGUAGCUAACGCAUUAAGCACUCCGCCUGGGGAGUACG